rnacentral:rRNA from 1 species
GAACGGCAGCACAGUAAGAGCUUGCUCUUAUGGGUGGCGAGUGGCGGACGGGUGAGGGAUACAUCGGAAUCUACUUUUUCGUGGGGGAUAACGUAGGGAAACUUACGCUAAUACCGCAUACGACCUACGGGUGAAAGCAGGGGAUCUUCGGACCUUGCGCGAUUGAAUGAGCCGAUGUCGGAUUAGCUAGUUGGCGGGGUAAAGGCCCACCAAGGCGACGAUCCGUAGCUGGUCUGAGAGGAUGAUCAGCCACACUGGAACUGAGACACGGUCCAGACUCCUACGGGAGGCAGCAGUGGGGAAUAUUGGACAAUGGGCGCAAGCCUGAUCCAGCCAUACCGCGUGGGUGAAGGAGGCCUUCGGGUUGUAAAGCCCUUUUGUUGGGAAAGAAAUCCAGCCGGCUAAUACCUGGCUGGGAUGACGGUACCCAAAGAAUAAGCACCGGCUAACUUCGUG